AAUCAACGCUGGCGGCGUGCCUCAGACAUGCAAGUCGAACGAUUAAAGCUCUCUUCGGAGAGUGUAUAGAGUGGCGCACGGGUGAGUAACACGUAAGUAAUCUACCUUUGAGUGGGGAAUAACCCGGGGAAACCCGAGCUAAUACCGCAUAAUGCAGCGGCACCGCAAGGUGACAGUUGUUAAAGGAGCAAUCCGCUUAAAGAGGAGCUUGCGGCAGAUUAGCUAGUUGGUAAGGUAAUGGCUUACCAAGGCUACGAUCUGUAACCGGUCUAAGAGGACGGUCGGUCACACUGACACUGAAUAACGGGUCAGACUCCUACGGGAGGCAGCAGUCGGGAAUUUUGGGCAAUGGGCGAAAGCCUGACCCAGCAACGCCGCGUGAAGGAUGAAGU
rnacentral:rRNA from 1 species